UUGGGAAUAUUGCACAAUGGGCGACAGCCUGAUGCAGCGACGCCGCGUGAAGGAAGAAGGCCUUCGGGUUGUAAACUUCUUUUUUAAGGGACGAUUGUGACGGUACCUUAAGAAUAAGGACCUGCUAACUACGUGCCAGCAGCAGCGGUAAUACGUAGGGUCCAAGCGUUGUCCGGAUUUAUUGGGCGUAAAGAGUAUGUAGGUGGCUUGGAAAGUUGGAUCUUAAAUCCCCGGGCUCAACCCGGGUUCUGGAUUCAAUACUUCCUUGCUUUGAGGAUAGCAGGGGCAAGUGGAAUUAGCGGAGUAGCAGUGAAAUGCGUUGAUCUCGCUAAGAACACCAAUAGCGAAGGCAGCUUGCUAGGCUAUCACUGACACUGAGAUACGAAAGCGUGGGGAGCGAACGGG
rnacentral:rRNA from 1 species